UACGAAGGGUGCAAGCGUUAAUCGGAAUUACUGGGCGUAAAGCGUGCGUAGGCGGUUUGUUAAGUCUGCUGUGAAAUCCCCCGGGCUCAACCUGGGAAUGGCAGUGGAUACUGGCAAGCUAGAGUGUGUCAGAGGAUGGUGGAAUUCCCGGUGUAGCGGUGAAAUGCGUAGAGAUCGGGAGGAACAUCAGUGGCGAAGGCGGCCAUCUGGGACAACACUGACGCUGAGGCACGAAAGCGUGGGGAG
rnacentral:rRNA from 1 species